rnacentral:rRNA from 1 species
UACGUAGGGUGCAAGCGUUGUCCGGAAUUAUUGGGCGUAAAGAGCUCGUAGGCGGUUUGUUGCGUCGGCUGUGAAAUCCCGAGGCUCAACCUCGGGUCUGCAGUCGAUACGAGCAAACUAGAGUGUUGCAGGGGAGACUGGAAUUCCUGGUGUAGCGGUGAAAUGCGCAGAUAUCAGGAGGAACACCGGUGGCGAAGGCGGGUCUCUGGAACGCAACUGACGCU